rnacentral:rRNA from 1 species
UUGAAGAGUUUGAUCAUGGCUCAGAUUGAACGCUGGCGGCAGGCCUAACACAUGCAAGUCGAACGGUAACAGGAAGCAGCUUGCUGCUUUGCUGACGAGUGGCGGACGGGUGAGUAAUGUCUGGGAAACUGCCUGAUGGAGGGGGAUAACUACUGGAAACGGUGGCUAAUACCGCAUAACGUCGCAAGACCAAAGAGGGGGACCUUCGGGCCUCUUGCCAUCAGAUGUGCCCAGAUGGGAUUAGCUAGUUGGUGAGGUAACGGCUCACCAAGGCGACGAUCCCUAGCUGGUCUGAGAGGAUGACCAGCCACACUGGAACUGAGACACGGUCCAGACUCCUACGGGAGGCAGCAGUGGGGAAUAUUGCACAAUGGGCGCAAGCCUGAUGCAGCCAUGCCGCGUGUAUGAAGAAGGCCUUCGGGUUGUAAAGUACUUUCAGCGGGGAGGAAGGUGUUGUGGUUAAUAACCGCAGCAAUUGACGUUACCCGCAGAAGAAGCACCGGCUAACUCCGUGCCAGCAGCCGCGGUAAUACGGAGGGUGCAAGCGUUAAUCGGAAUUACUGGGCGUAAAGCGCACGCAGGCGGUCUGUCAAGUCGGAUGUGAAAUCCCCGGGCUCAACCUGGGAACUGCAUUCGAAACUGGCAGGCUUGAGUCUUGUAGAGGGGGGUAGAAUUCCAGGUGUAGCGGUGAAAUGCGUAGAGAUCUGGAGGAAUACCGGUGGCGAAGGCGGCCCCCUGGACAAAGACUGACGCUCAGGUGCGAAAGCGUGGGGAGCAAACAGGAUUAGAUACCCUGGUAGUCCACGCCGUAAACGAUGUCUACUUGGAGGUUGUGCCCUUGAGGCGUGGCUUCCGGAGCUAACGCGUUAAGUAGACCGCCUGGGGAGUACGGCCGCAAGGUUAAAACUCAAAUGAAUUGACGGGGGCCCGCACAAGCGGUGGAGCAUGUGGUUUAAUUCGAUGCAACGCGAAGAACCUUACCUGGUCUUGACAUCCACGGAAGUUUUCAGAGAUGAGAAUGUGCCUUCGGGAACCGUGAGACAGGUGCUGCAUGGCUGUCGUCAGCUCGUGUUGUGAAAUGUUGGGUUAAGUCCCGCAACGAGCGCAACCCUUAUCCUUUGUUGCCAGCGGUCCGGCCGGGAACUCAAAGGAGACUGCCAGUGAUAAACUGGAGGAAGGUGGGGAUGACGUCAAGUCAUCAUGGCCCUUACGACCAGGGCUACACACGUGCUACAAUGGCGCAUACAAAGAGAAGCGACCUCGCGAGAGCAAGCGGACCUCAUAAAGUGCGUCGUAGUCCGGAUUGGAGUCUGCAACUCGACUCCAUGAAGUCGGAAUCGCUAGUAAUCGUGGAUCAGAAUGCCACGGUGAAUACGUUCCCGGGCCUUGUACACACCGCCCGUCACACCAUGGGAGUGGGUUGCAAAAGAAGUAGGUAGCUUAACCUUCGGGAGGGCGCUUACCACUUUGUGAUUCAUGACUGGGGUGAAGUCGUAACAAGGUAACCGUAGGGGAACCUGCGGUUGGAUCACCUCCUU